rnacentral:rRNA from 1 species
CCUACGGGUGGCAGCAGUGAGGAAUAUUGGUCAAUGGACGGAAGUCUGAACCAGCCACGCCGCGUGCAGGAAGACGGUUCUCUGAGUUUUAAACUCUUUUUGUACAAAGGAAAACCUGAAUACGUGUAUUCUGCUGAAAGUACUGUACGAAGCAGGAUCGCCUAAAUCCGGGCCAGGAGCCGCGGUAAUACGGAGGAUCCAAGCGUUAUCCGGAUUUAUUGGGUUUAAAGGGUGCGUAGGCGGAUUGAUAAGUUAGAGGUGAAAUGUCCGGGCUUAACUCGGGAACUGCAUCUGAUACUGUUGAUCUAGAGUGUAGAUGCGGUAGGCGGAAUGUAUGGUGUAGCGGUGAAAUGCGUAGAGAUCA